AACGAACGCUGGCGGCAGGCCUAACACAUGCAAGUCGAACGCUGUAGCAAUACAGAGUGGCAGACGGGUGAGUAACGCGUGGGAACAUGCUCUUCGGUUCGGAAUAACCCAGGGAAACUUGAGCUAAUACCCGAUACGCCCUUAGGGGGAUAGAUUUAUUGCCGAAGGAUGGGCCCGCGUCCGAUUAGCUAGUUGGUGAGGUAAUGGCCCACCAAGGCGACGAUCGGUAGCUGGUCUGAGAGGAUGAUCAGCCACACUGGGACUGAGACACGGCCCAGACUCGUAGGUGAGGCAGCAGUGGGGAAUAUUUGACAAUGGGCGCAAGCCUUAACCAUCCAUGCCGCGUGAGUGAUGAAGGCCCUAGGGUUGUAAAGCUCUUUCGCCAGGGACGAUAAUGACGGUACCUGGAUAAGAAGCCCCGGCUAACUUCGUGCCAGCCGCCGCAGUAACAC
rnacentral:rRNA from 1 species